GGGUGAGAUGCAGCCUCAGUCGCGAGUCGCGCGUAUCGGAGAUGACAUGUACGCGUGCAUCUCUUAUCACGGGUUCAAUUGAGAUAAAGUUAGGCUUAAAUCUUGUUUUAAAGAGUAAUUCAGGAUAUGGUCUUGUGAUAGUGUGAACUGUGAUUUGGUGAUACGCCACUUCUUUGGGUUGGAACCAUGGACGCCAUACACCACCUUCAGACGUUGCAGCUGGGUGUUUCAAUAGCACUGGGUGUUUCGAUAUCAGUAUCUAAGCAGCAUUCCGUAUUUACUGAAAAUGAAUGGCCGGGAUGAUCAGAACCAAUUAUUGGGAAGAUGAAAAAUGAUGAUGAAAAAUUUACACUGUAUAAUUAUAUUACGGAGAUCUGUAUAGUAGCACAAAUACACAAUAUCUACCAAAGAAGAUUAAGUAAGCUUCUCUCCAAAAGAAGAUUCGAGGCUAAGGAAGUAUACAAAAUUCUUCUAUUUUCAGAAUUUAAGGACAUUCGAAUUAGGAACUCCAAAGUACCGGAUCACAGCGAGGCAUACCGUGGCCCUAAACACAUAUUAUGUCUAAUCAAAACUUCUCUGAAAAUGUCUUGCACAUGGGUUUUCGCACGUCGUUUAGAAGGCAAUCCUGUCAAACAGAAAAACCAUCGAAAUAGCUGAAUACCUUCAACUGGCCGACUGAUUUCCUUGGAAAAUCACCCUUGGUCUCCAUUGCUUACAGACCCACGUGGCCGCUGCCUCGACGCUUCGCUGCGACCUUCCGCGGUG
rnacentral:lncRNA from 1 species